AGUUGAGGAUUUUUUGCCGAAUCGCGAUUUGCAGAGGCGACUAGGCGAGAUGCGGAGACGGUGGUCCGGUGGAGGCGUGGAGGCUCAUCGUCGUCGGCUCGUCGAGUGCAGAGGCGAGAUGAGAGUGGUGGAGGCUCGUCGGCGGCGGCUCGUCGAGUACUAGGGUUUCUCCGCUCGUCGACGGCGGCUCGUCGAGUGCAGCUUUCAGGAAUCAACGGUCCUUCUCGGAUCGUCGUCGUCGCCGAGUGCCAAUCAUCUCGGAUCGUCGCCCUCGUCUCCCUUCUCCUCCAGCCUCAAAUAUGCUAUGCAGGUUAAAUGUUGGAUAAUUUGUCCAUCCCCCUGGCAAGAACGAGUUGGGCAUCAGCGGUCUGCUGGUGGAUGGAUUACAAAAUAUGCCCUCUACGAGUUCAAGUGAGCGAACAAUUAAUUUUGGUGGACAAGGUGAUAUAAGUUCCGUUUCUUCCAAAAAGAAAUUUGGUAUGGAUUUUGCUCAAUUUAGAAGUCAGAGUUCUUCAAAACGCCCAAAGAGAUCCGAGCUAGAUAGUUAUUUGGAUGAUGAUGUGCUUCCUGAUUUGGAGAAUAAGGAGUUUGACAUCUUGGCUUGGUGGAAGAGCAAUGCAGCAGUCUAUCCUAUACUAUCAAGAAUGGCUCAAGAUGUUCUAGCUAUUCCAGUCUCCACUGUUUCAUCUGAGUCGGCAUUCAGUACUGGUGGUAGAGUUGUGGAUCAGUAUCGAAGCUCUUUGAGUCCAUCUACCGUAGAAGCCUUAGUUUGUACCCAAGAUUGGCUUCGUGAACAAUAUGAUGAAGGUAUAUAAAUCUUUUAAAUUUAUCUAAUAUUUUUUAUUUGCUUAUUGUACUUAUAAUUUAAACAUUUAUGAUUGAUUUGUGUG